AGAUAAACGUUGAAGAGGAGAAGUAAAAGGAGUAUUUUCUUUAUAGAGAGAGCUGUCUUGGCUGAAAGCAGCUUAAGAAAUACCUUUUGAAAUGCCCCUCUGAGUCCUAUACUAAAAAACUUUAAAUGGAAGUUUUAAACCUCCUGAUUACCGGACUUUUUAAAAUUCCGUACAGUGUGAGUUUAAAAUUCCUUUCAAAGUUAAGUAAGUAUAGGCGGUACUCACCGUUAACGAGUUAAGAGGAGUAGAUAAUACUCAAACAGAGUGGGACCGCGCUAAAAGCGUCUCUGUG
rnacentral:ncRNA from 1 species